GGAAAAUUACACAACACAAAAUCACAAGCGACUGUGUAGGUCUUAUCGCCAAUGCCUAAUUUGCAAAAUCGCGGCAUGGUUAAAUCCGAUCCUGUGAUAAAUAUUCAUCAUCAAAUCACACCUAUCCAUUACCAAGUAAUAACUUUACAUACAGUACAUGCUAGCUUCAAUUACAAUGGAUUGACAUACAAAAGGCACAAAACAGCGCACGCAUUAUACGCGUGCACCUAAUAUACAAUAUUUCACGGCAUGGUCCACUUUCCAGACCCCAUUGAAAAUAUAAGAAACCAUCAAAUUAAUAAUGCUUAUAAGUAUAAACCACUAACCAAAGGUCCAAGACGCAUGUAGAGGUUCUAUUACCUAUCCCAAAAUUAAAAUACUAAACUUUAAAGUUAAUAUUAUUACUCCAUUCAGGUUUGCUGGUUUUUCUUUCAUUUCGCAGAUCUACAAGAAGUCGUUUCAUGAAGACAUGGGUGGCUUUGAUCAUGUUCAGGAAUUAAUUUGGUGCAGUUCAUGUGAUUCGCUGUUUACGUUGGCGUGAAUGAGGAUCGAUCGAUAAGCGUCUUAGCACACCAUUCAGUUGGAUGUUUUCGUGAAACCGAUCCUGCAGGCUGUAGAGCUCCAUUAUCCCAUGUGACCUAUCGCUAACAUAAGUGUGGGCUGAAGUAUACUUCCAUUCUAAGUACUUCUGGAGUUUACCAUCUUUUGCCAACGAUGUUGUUGCGUGG